rnacentral:rRNA from 1 species
AGGUAAGCUACUAAGAGCGAAUGGUGGAUGCCUUGACUGGUAAAGGCGAUGAAGGACGUACUAGACUGCGAUAAGCUACGGGGAGCUGUCAAGAAGCUUUGAUCCGUAGAUUUCCGAAUGGGGCAACCCAAUGUAUAGAGAUAUACAUUACCUAUAUAGGAGCGAACGAGGGGAAUUGAAACAUCUUAGUACCCUCAGGAAAAGAAAUCAAUAGAGAUUGCGUCAGUAGCGGCGAGCGAAAGCGCAAGAGGGCAAACCCAGUGCUUGCACUGGGGGUUGUAGGACUGCAAUGUGCAAGAGGUAAGUUUAGCAGAACAUUCUGGAAAGUAUAACCAUAGAGGGUGAUAGUCCCGUAUGCGAAAAACAAACCUUAGCUAGCAGUAUCCUGAGUAGGGCGGGACACGAGGAAUCCUGUCUGAAUCCGGGUCGACCACGAUCCAACCCUAAAUACUAAUACCAGAUCGAUAGUGCACAAGUACCGUGAGGGAAAGGUGAAAAGAACUGAGGUGAUCAGAGUGAAAUAGAACCUGAAACCAUUUGCUUACAAUCAUUCAGAGCCCUAUGUAGCAAUACAGGGUGAUGGACUGCCUUUUGCAUAAUGAGCCUGCGAGUUGUGGUGUCUGGCAAGGUUAAGCAAACGCGAAGCCGUAGCGAAAGCGAGUCUGAAUAGGGCGCUUAGUCAGAUGCUGCAGACCCGAAACGAAGUGAUCUAUCCAUGAGCAAGUUGAAGCUAGUGUAAGAACUAGUGGAGGACUGAACCCAUAGGCGUUGAAAAGCCCCGGGAUGACUUGUGGAUAGGGGUGAAAGGCCAAUCAAACUUCGUGAUAGCUGGUUCUCUCCGAAAUAUAUUUAGGUAUAGCGUUGUGUCGUAAUAUAAGGGGGUAGAGCACUGAAUGGGCUAGGGCAUACACCAAUGUACCAAACCCUAUCAAACUCCGAAUACCUUAUAUGUAAUCACAGCAGUCAGGCGGCGAGUGAUAAAAUCCGUCGUCAAGAGGGAAACAACCCAGACUACCAGCUAAGGUCCCUAAAUCUUACUUAAGUGGAAAACGAUGUGAAGUUACUUAAACAACCAGGAGGUUGGCUUAGAAGCAGCCAUCCUUUAAAGAAAGCGUAAUAGCUCACUGGUCUAGUGAUUUUGCGCGGAAAAUAUAACGGGGCUAAAGUAAGUACCGAAGCUGUAGACUUAGUUUACUAAGUGGUAGGAGAGCGUUCUAUUUGCGUCGAAGGUAUACCGGUAAGGAGUGCUGGAGCGAAUAGAAGUGAGCAUGCAGGCAUGAGUAGCGAUAAUUAAUGUGAGAAUCAUUAACGCCGUAAACCCAAGGUUUCCUACGCGAUGCUCGUCAUCGUAGGGUUAGUCGGGUCCUAAGUCGAGUCCGAAAGGGGUAGACGAUGGCAAAUUGGUUAAUAUUCCAAUACCAACAUUAGUGUGCGAUGGAAGGACGCUUAGGGCUAAGGGGGCUAGCGGAUGGAAGUGCUAGUCUAAGGUCGUAGGAGGUUAUACAGGCAAAUCCGUAUAACAAUACUCCGAGAACUGAAAGGCUUUUUGAAGUCUUCGGAUGGAUAGAAGAACCCCUGAUGCCGUCGAGCCAAGAAAAGUUUCUAAGUUUAGCUAAUGUUGCCCGUACCGUAAACCGACACAGGUGGGUGGGAUGAGUAUUCUAAGGCGCGUGGAAGAACUCUCUUUAAGGAACUCUGCAAAAUAGCACCGUAUCUUCGGUAUAAGGUGUGGUUAGCUUUGUAUUAGGAUUUACUCCGAAAGCAAGGAAACUUACAACAAAGAGUCCCUCCCGACUGUUUACCAAAAACACAGCACUCUGCUAACUCGUAAGAGGAUGUAUAGGGUGUGACGCCUGCCCGGUGCUCGAAGGUUAAUUGAUGGGGUUAGCAUUAGCGAAGCUCUUGAUCGAAGCCCGAGUAAACGGCGGCCGUAACUAUAACGGUCCUAAGGUAGCGAAAUUCCUUGUCGGUUAAAUACCGACCUGCAUGAAUGGCGUAACGAGAUGGGAGCUGUCUCAAAGAGGGAUCCAGUGAAAUUGUAGUGGAGGUGAAAAUUCCUCCUACC